UACGUAGGGGGCAAGCGUUGUCCGGAUUUAUUGGGCGUAAAGCGCGUGUAGGCGGCCACGCAGGUCCGCUGUGAAAACUCGAGGCUCAACCUCGAGCUGUCGGUGGAAACCGCGUGGCUAGAGUCCGGAAGAGGGGACUGGAAUUCCCGGUGUAGCGGUGGAAUGCGCAGAUAUCGGGAGGAACACCCGUGGCGAAGGCGGGUCUCUGGGCAAUAACUGACGCUGAGGAGCGAAAGCGUGGGGAGCGAACAGG
rnacentral:rRNA from 1 species